GGAGCCGGCCGAACAGUCGCUGGGAGAAAUCCUGGAGGAAAGUCCGGGCUCCGCUGGGCAAGGUGCCAGGUAACGCCUGGGGGGCGUGAGCCCACGGCAAGUGCAACAGAAAAGAUACCGCCGGAUUCGUCCGGUAAGGGUGAAAUGGUGCGGUAAGAGCGCACCGCGCUCGUGGUAACACUGAGUGGCAAGGUAAACCCCACCUGGAGCAAGACCGAAUAGGGAAGCGUUGAGUGUGCCCACACGAGCUUCCGGGUAGGUCGCUUGAGGCAGCCGGUGACGGUUGUCCUAGAUGAAUGACUGUUCUCGACAGAACCCGGCUUACAGGCCGGCUCCCAUC
rnacentral:RNase_P_RNA from 1 species